CUUGUGAAGAGAGUGCCUUGCUUCUCCUUCACCUUCCACCAUGAUUAGCUGGAUGUCAUCCAUCCUGGGGAAACAGGACACCAUCAACAGCAGGUUACAUCAGCAGAGCAUUACGCCCUGAGCAUCACCCGGUUAACACAAAGAAGCUAUUAAAGUUGUUUUUCAGGACUAUGGGGGCAGCUCCUGUCCAGUUCGAACCCGUUGAGAUCAAUGACCCUUCAACUGAACCUGUGCAAAUGCCGGAGAAGUGACCUUUUGACGUCAGAGGGCCCAAAACUCCCCGAGAUCAUGCUAAUGCUGCCAUUUUCUAAACAUGCACCCUAUGAAGAUCCAGGAAGCUUGGCUAUGUAUGUGCAGAUUGCCAAUGACCUCACUUUUCCUUGCCUCCAAUCACCUCUUCCCACACUUUAGACCACCCUGCUCCUUUAUUCCAUAAAGAUCCCUAAAUUCCAUCUUCAGGGAGGCAAGUAUGAGACCUUUUCUCCUGCCUCCUUGCUUGGCUGCGUUGGUGUGAAUAAAUUCUUUUCUUUUGCCAAAUCCAUCAUAACAGCGAUUGGCUUACUACCCAUGGGCAGAAGGGGACAGGUUCGCUAUCUAGGGCAGAGGGGAGGAAAGGAAACAGCCAGACCCUUGAUAGCAUCCUGGGGCCACCCCACUGACCCUCGGGCCACCUGCAUCUGGACUGCUUAUCAAGUCAAAAAAAAUUUUUUUUUUUGAGACGGAGUCUAGCUCUGUUGCCCAGGCUGGAGUGCAGUGGCAUGAUCUCGGCUCACUGCAACCUCCGCCUCACAGGUUGAAGCCAUUCUCUGCCUCAGCUUCCCGAGUAGCUGGGAUUACAGGCAUCCACCACCAAGCCUGGCUAAUUUUUGUAUUUUUAGGAGAGAUGGAGUUUCACCAUCUUGGCCAGGCUGGUCUUGAACUCCUUACCUCGUGAUCCACCUGCCUCAGCCUCCGAA
rnacentral:lncRNA from 1 species